UUAAACAAACAAUCUAAUACGAUUUCUGUUAUGUUAUGUAGUUAACGACAUGCCUAAAAUUAUACCUACCAUUAUACUUGACAAAAUGGGCCUUAAGGGCCAACGUUUCCUUGCUUGGUAUCGCCACAUUGAGAAUGUCUCAGAAGGUGAAAGACAUAUUGUAUAUGCUUAAGCAAUCCCCUCCUCAUGUACCUCCUACGAAACUAGCUUCAAAGGAGGAGUGUCAAAAUUAUGUUAGACACUAUGAGGAUGAUUUACAAGCCAAAUGCUUAAUCCUCACUUCACUUAGUGAGGAGCUUA
rnacentral:lncRNA from 1 species